GAUACAAUGUUGCUUUAUUUUCAGUUUUGCUGAUGCGUUCCAUGUUUUAUUUUCUGAGUCCUUUCGCGCCUUGUUCAGAUGAUCUAGAGCUUCUGUUGGAUUCUGUACUAAUUAGACGUGUGAUCCAUCAUCACCGUCUAUCAAUUUCGCAACUGAAAGGGCAAAUUGAUAGAGAUGGUCGGCUAUCCACCACCAUUCCCACGUUUUCGAUUGAAAGAACAGAGCCAUAUCUAAAAGUGUCGUUGCUUGUGCAAGGUAGUCACCUAAAUAAAUUAUUCAUUUACUUAAUCAAUAAACUAGCAUAUGUAGUAAGAUUCGGUGGAAUCAUGUUCUUUCAUACCUUUCCUUUUACUCUUUUCAAACGCAAUAAAUCCAUUUGUCAAAUAGUUUAUAAAAUCUUGUUGAUCUUUCAAAGAUGGUUUUUUCCAUGAUAACGAGCCAGGCGUUUUUUCAGAAAUUUUUUCAUCGAAAUCUAGAAGUUUUGUCAUAUAAUCAAACGAUUGUUGAUAUCCCUGUUCUUUAAACUCGAGAAGUAUCGCCUCAUGAUACGGCAUAUAAAACCUAUUUAUAAUGUUGUAGUUAAUAAUAUUUUUAUAAAUAAGUUUGUAUUAUUUUCAUUUUUAUAUGUAUAUAUAAUGACAAUAAGAACCUUCUCACUUCUUUGGGAGUUAUAUUUGGUAAAGCGGCUUUUAAAUCAUCAAUAACCUUAUUUAUUUCUUUCCCUUGAGCUUGGGGCAAAGUUUUCAAUUUUAUCUUUGGAUUGUCAAUGUAUUCGCUAAUGUUGCUAUCCGAGUUAUUCGACCAUUCUGUGCAAUUCUUCUUUAAAAAUUCUGCGACAUCGUGUCUUUUUCCUCGCCUGUAUUUUGCAGUCAUUAUUUUAAACGUUUCUUCGUAAGCUCUUAAGAGUAAAACGUAAACAGAAAGGUGAAACAGAGGAAAGAUGAAACAUAACAUCGGAUUUUGCAACGCUAUGGAUGCAUAAUUUAUUGCAUAAGAUAAAUAUCAACGUAAAUAGUAAAUAUAUUCAUACAUUACACAUGAACAGAAAUAUACAUACAUUUAUACACAAGCAUAUAAUCUGAGGGAAUAGUUUCCCGCGCAUGCUCGAAAAGUAUGACGUUUAACGAUUCGCGUGUGUGAUUAAGUAUUUUGUCACCCGCUGUGUGAUUGUGCGGGAAGCCUAUAACCUACCACGAUUUGUAAUUUCUCUUUGAAAUAAAAAUUCUUAUGUUAAAUCGUCCUUGCAUUUUUAUGCCGUGGCCGCUACUACUUUCCUAGGUUCGAGCUUGAUAUUGAAACCGUCUGCUCUCUUUAAGAUAAUAUCAGCUUGUAGUCUGAAAUCGGAUUCCUUCGAGUUAGAUUUUAUGCGGAAAUUUCUGAGGAUCGUCGACAGGAUGAUCUUCAGUUUGAGCAUUGCGUAUUUCCUUCCUACACAGGAUCGUGGACCAGCCGAGAAUGGCACGAAUGCGUAAUAAUGACGUUUUGCGGUAUUUUCUGGUAGGAAGUUGUCAGGAUUGAAGACAUCAGGGUUAGGAUAGAUGCUUGGAUGUCGGUGUAGCUUGUAGGUGGCAAUAACAACUGUGCAGCCAGCUGGGAUUGUGUAGUUUCCACUCACUGAAAUUUUCAUUUUUGUUAAUACUGCUUUUGGUAGAAAAAAAGCAUGUAAGAUGUGAAAAUCAUGAUACUAACUGCAUUUCAGAUCUGUUUUGAUCUCCCGAGCAAUAAUUGGUACAGGUGGGUAUAGUCGAAGCGUUUCCAAUAGGCAACGUUCGAGGUAUUUCAUCUCUAAAGUAUCUUGGAAGGUGGCUGGUCUGUCACUGUCACCAAAGAUCUCGUCGAGUUCUUGAAUAACUUUCUCUUGUACGUCAGGGUGACAACCCAUCAAUGCAAGGAAGAAGCUGGCUCCGGCUGCAGUUGUAUCGUGUCCCU